UCGGCGCCGCGGGGCGCGCGGUGAAGGCGGGGAGACCCCGGGGCGGCACGUGAUGGACAAGGCUUCGCGCCCCACCCCUGCGCUCUGCUCCCGCCGGCCUCGGCUAGUCCAAUCCAAGGCUUCGGCUGCACCACGGAGCAAAGCGAUUGGCUGCUGCCGCGAGGAGGGCAACCCAAAGAGGAAGUCUCAAAGGAUCUGAUUCAGUGGGAAGAUCCACCUUAAAUCUGGGCCAAAACUUUUGCUGGCAGCCUGACUAGAAUCUGGAAGGAGGAAGCACUUGCUGUUUUCCCUGCUUGCUCUUGCUUUUGCUGGCAACCUUGGAUUCCAAAAUAAACUGAAGAACAGCUAAGACAUCCAGCUUCAAGAGCUGAACAACUAAUGAAUUCUUGGACUCCACAGAGAUAGACAGCAAUUGUUGUACUAGCUGGACCACAGCCUAAUCUUUCUAUGUAACUCUGGUUGGUCUGGAACUCACUAUGUUGAACAAGGUGGCCUGGAACUUGUGAUUUUUACUUGAGUUUCCUAGGUGCUGGGAUUAUGGGCAUUCUCUACCAUACCUGUCUGUGAUUUAUAUAAUUACCAACCAUAUAAUUUAAAUUAUGUAACUAUAGCUUAUAAUUAUAUAAUUAUUGUUCUGUGGUCAUGGGGUUACAAUUAUUGCUAUAAAUCGUUAUUUCAAUACAGCCACUGGUUGGUUUGUCCUUAUUAAAGUUAACAAAAA